GUUGUGGCUCAGUGGUAGAGUGCUCGCCUAGCAUGCAUGAGGCACUGGGUUCGAUCCCCAGAACAACA
rnacentral:tRNA from 1 species